UGGUUGAUCGGCCUGAGAAUCUGAACUCGAUCGAUCGGCUUGAUUUGCAGCGAUCGAUCGAAAUUCUUAGCUGGUCGAUCAGUUCGACAUGGCUUGGUGCCACAUGGUCGACCGGCCUGAGGAUCCAGACUCGAUCGGUCGGCUCGAUUUGCAACGAUCAAUCGAAAUUCUCCGACAAUCGAUCGGUUCGGCAUGACUUGCAUGCCACGUGGUCGACCGGCCUGAGGUUUCGGACUCGAU
rnacentral:lncRNA from 1 species